GUGGGGAAUAUUGGGCAAUGGGCGCAAGCCUGACCCAGCAACGCCGCGUGAAGGAAGAAGGCUUUCGGGUUGUAAACUUCUUUUACCAGGGACGAAACAAAUGACGGUACCUGGUGAAUAAGCCACGGCUAACUACGUGCCAGCAGCCGCGGUAAUACGUAGGUGGCGAGCGUUAUCCGGAUUUCUUGGGUGUAAAGGGCGUGUAGGCGGGACAGCAAGUCAGAUGUGAAAACCAGAGGCUCAACCUCUGGCCUGCAUUUGAAACUGUUGUUCUUGAGUGUCGGAGAGGUAAUCGGAAUUCCGUGUGUAGCGGUGAAAUGCGUAGAUAUACGGAGGAACACCAGUGGCGAAGGCGGAUUACUGGACGAUAACUGACGCUGAGGCGCGAAAGCGUGGGGAGCAAACAGGAUUAGAAACCCGGGUAGUCC
rnacentral:rRNA from 1 species